rnacentral:rRNA from 1 species
AUUGAACGCUGGCGGCAGGCCUAACACAUGCAAGUCGAGCGAGCGGCGGACGGGUGAGUAAUGUAUGGGGACUGCACGAUAGAGGGGGAUAACUACUGGAAACGGUGGCUAAUACCGCAUACUAUCGGAUAACCCAUAUGGGAUUAGGUAUUAGGUGGGGUAAAGGCUAACCUAGUCGACGAGCUCUAGCUGGCCUGAGAGGAUGAUCAUCCACACUGGAACUGCGACACGGCCCAGACUCCUACGGAGGCAGCAGUGGGGAAUAUUGCACAAUGGUCGCAAGCCUGAUGCAGCCAUGCCGCGUGUAUGAAGAAGGCCUUAGGGUUGUAAAGUACUUUCAGCGGGGAGGCGUUACCCACAGAAGGAGCACCGGCUAACUCCGUGCCAGCAGCCGCGGUAAUUC